rnacentral:lncRNA from 1 species
UUCUCUCUAUCAGGCCCUAAUUUAGAUUCCUGAAUCAUGACAACCCCAGGCUUUGUACACGAAAUAUGGUUUUUAACAACCAUGCGUUUGGUAGAACGACCCAUGCCUCGCACAUUCCAAGUAACCCAAGGAUUCCCCAUCAUAUGAGAACCAAACCCCCAAACUCAAACUGAAUUUACUGUAGCUCUGGGUGAUUAAAACGAACCUGGUCCUCAAGUCUAUUGAUCAUCACGUCGUCAUCGCCAUUGUAUACCACACCUAGUUCUUUGCCCACUUUCCACACACUUCUUGCCCACGAAGAAGCUCCUUCCUCACCUAUCUCACCAUCUGAACAAUAAGCAGGGACCUCCAAUACAACUUUUGGGGCCCGUUUGGUACAACGUAUUAAGCCUGAUUGUAUAAGCUUAUACAAUACGUUAUAUGCUUAUCAGGUGUUUGGGCUUACAUCGUAUUGGAUAACUUUAUCCAUCAAUUUCUUCUAAUACAUUAAAAUGAUGGAUAACUUAAUACAUCACUCAAAAGGAGGAUAAGGCCUGAUAAGUUUUGAUGUAUUAGCUACUUAAAAAUAUUUCCAACCCUAGCCUCAUUCAUCUAUCAUCACACGUUCUCUUCUUCCUAUGUGGCCUUCAUUCAUCUUCUUCCUCNNNNN